ensembl:lncRNA
GGCAAAAUGCUGGAAAACUAAAUGUUGGAAAAUGUAAUAUUGCAGGGGAAAAUUGACACUUGUAGAAAAUAACGUGGGCCUAUUUAGAACCACAAAUGGUAAUCAUUUCUUUAAGACCAUGUGCUGUAGAGGUUUCUGUGAUGGGUGACCCAGGUGAAGGACACAGCGCUGGGCGUGAAUCGUGUUCUGCUGGCUGUGGUGCGCGUGCACAGGACAGAUUCCCAGGGAGGAGCUGUGACAUCAGAGGACACCAUGCUGUCAGACUCUCCUCACAACAAGCCAGGCCAGCCUUGAAGGGCCCCGAUGCAUACCUCUACCUGCAAAGAGCGAGACUGCCCCUUUAU